rnacentral:lncRNA from 1 species
CCGCACAUCCACUCACAAGAUCAGGAUCCUCCAAGCCACGAGCAAUCCAUUAGAGUAGCCAAUUUCAAUCUCCCAUGGGUAAGGCUCAAGAACCCCCUCACAAAUCACUUGGUGAGGCUUGAAACAAUCUCCACUCACGAUCUCAACACCUCCACUGCUCCAAGCCUUCUAGGUCAUUGGGAAACACCCAAGAGUAACAAGAAAUCCACAGCAAACUCAAGAAUCAAGUGCCACUAGAUACAACUCUUAAUGCAAUGCACUUGAAUCCUCAAUCUUACUAUGAUUAGCAAUCAAGCAAGGAGAUGAGUGGACGGACUGUUCUCUAGCUCAAUGUAUGCCUC